rnacentral:rRNA from 1 species
UACGGGGGGGCAAGCGUUGUUCGGAAUUACUGGGCGUAAAGGGCUCGUAGGCGGCCAACUAAGUCCGACGUGAAAUCCCCAGGCUUAACCUGGGAACUGCGUCGGAUACUGGAUGGCUUGAAUUCGGGAGAGGGAUGCAGAAUUCCAGGUGUAGCGGUGAAAUGCGUAGAGAUCCGGAAGAACACCAGUGGCGAAGGCGGUCUGCUGGGCCGUGGGAUCGCAAGGUCCCGGAGCUGACACUGAGGCGCGACAGCGUGGGGAGCAAACAGG